CCUACGGGAGGCAGCAGUGGGGAAUCUUGCACAAUGGGGGCAACCCUGAUGCAGCGACGCCGCGUGAGCGAUGAAGCCCUUCGGGGUGUAAAGCUCUUUCGGCAGGAAAGAUUAUGACGGUACCUGCAGAAGAAGCUGCGGCUAACUACGUGCCAGCAGCCGCGGUAAUACGUAGGCAGCGAGCGUUGUUCGGAGUUACUGGGCGUAAAGAGUGUGUAGGCGGUCCUUUAAGUUCGGUGUGAAAUCUCCCGGCUCAACUGGGAGGGUGCGCCGGAAACUG
rnacentral:rRNA from 1 species